GCUGAAGCCAGUCGAAGAUACCAGCUGGCUGCAACUGUUUAUUAAAAACACAGCACUGUGCAAACACGAAAGUGGACGUAUACGGUGUGACGCCUGCCCGGUGCUGGAAGGUUAAUUGAUGGGGUUAGCGCAAGCGAAGCUCCUGAUCGAAGCCCCAGUAAACGGCGGCCGUAACUAUAACGGUCCUAAGGUAGCGAAAUUCCUUGUCGGGUAAGUUCCGACCUGCACGAAUGGCGUAAUGAUGGCCAGGCUGUCUCCACCCGAGACUCAGUGAAAUUGAACUCGCUGUGAAGAUGCAGUGUACCCGCGGCAAGACGGAAAGACCCCGUGAACCUUUACUAUAGCUUGACACUGAACAUUGAGCCUUGAUGUGUAGGAUAGGUGGGAGGCUUUGAAGUGUGGACGCCAGUCUGCAUGGAGCCAACCUUGAAAUACCACCCUUUAACGUUUGAUGUUCUAACCUAGGCCCAUAAACUGGGUCGGGGACCGUGUCUGGUGGGUAGUUUGACUGGGGCGGUCUCCUCCUAAAGAGUAACGGAGGAGCACGAAGGUUGGCUAAGCAUGGUCGGACAUCAUGCGGUUAGUGCAAAGGCAUAAGCCAGCUUGACUGCGAGAGUGACGGCUCGAGCAGGUACGAAAGUAGGUCUUAGUGAUCCGGUGGUUCUGAAUGGAAGGGCCAUCGCUCAACGGAUAAAAGGUACUCCGGGGAUAACAGGCUGAUACCGCCCAAGAGUUCAUAUCGACGGCGGUGUUUGGCACCUCGAUGUCGGCUCAUCACAUCCUGGGGCUGAAGUAGGUCCCAAGGGUAUGGCUGUUCGCCAUUUAAAGUGGUACGCGAGCUGGGUUUAGAACGUCGUGAGACAGUUCGGUCCCUAUCUGCCGUGGGCGUUGGAAGAUUGAGAGGGGUUGCUCCUAGUACGAGAGGACCGGAGUGAACGCACCACUGGUGUUCGGGUUGUCAUGCCAAUGGCAUUGCCCGGUAGCUAAGUGCGGAAGAGAUAACCGCUGAAAGCAUCUAAGCGGGAAACUUGCCUCGAGAUGAGUCUUCCCUGUCGCUUUAAGCGACCUAAAGGAACGUUUAAGACUAAGACGUUGAUAGGCUGGGUGUGUAAGCGUAGCGAUACGUUGAGCUAACCAGUACUAAUGAACCGUGAGGCUUAACCUGACAACACCGAA
rnacentral:rRNA from 1 species